GUUAUUUGUGGAACAUUUUUAUUUUGUGUUCACUUUUACAGAAUAUUCUUGCCAGGUGCAGUGGCACACACCUGUAAUCCCAGCGGCUGGGGAGGCUGAGACAGGAGGAUCACGAGUUCAAAGGCAGCCUCAGCAACGGCAAGGCACUAAGCAAUUCAGUGAGACCCUGUCUCUAAAUAAAAUACAGAAUAUGGCUGGGAAUGUGGCUCAGUGAUUGAGUGUCCCUGAGUUCAACCCCCUGUACCAAACAACAACAACGACAGAAAAAAACAAUAUUAUUGUUUAAUAUAGAAUUAUAAGUUUCAGCUCUUUGAAUCUGGCCUUCAGUCUUCCUAAUGAGAAGUCAGAUAUUAAUAGUAUUUCUGUUUUUCUCAGUUUUUUUUUUGACAUCUUUGAGAUUUUACUGUUUGUAUUUAAUUUUCAACAGGUUAAUUCUCUUAUAUCUAAAGAGACUGAUGCUGACAUUACACAUAUGUUGGUACAUUUGAUGUGACCCCAUAGGUCUCUAGGGACUGUACAUUUCUAUUUAAUAUUUUUCUUCCCAUUUUAAGAUUGCAUAAUUUUUACUGGUUUAUUUUCUAGUUUACUGGUUCUUUUCCUGCCGUUUUAAAACCACCGAGUUCUAAUGAACUAUUCAUUUCAAUUAUUGUACUAUUCAACUUUAAAAUUUCUAAUUAUUUUAGUAAUGAUCUCUUUUUUUUAGAUUCUGUACACUGUCAUUGUUAUCAUACUUUGCCUUAGUUAUUUUAAGUUGUUUUCUUUAGUCCUUUGAACAUAUUUAAUAAUAUCUGCUUUGAAAUUUUUGUCUCCUAAAUCCAGUACCUGGGCAUACUAUAAGAUUGUCUAUUGACUGCUUUAUUCCCCUGAAUAUGGUUAUGUUUUUGGUUACUUACAAGCCUUGAAACUGUGUUAAGUACCACAAAACUAAAUAAAAUGGCAGCCACUCUGGAUUGUGAUUUUUUCCCCCCAUGGGUAUGGUCUUUUGUUUUAUUUAGUAUUUUAGCUGAACUAAAUCAAUGAAAUCUAUUUUUCUCACAG
rnacentral:lncRNA from 1 species